GCCUGCAAGACAGGUUUACGGGGAGGAAUGCAUGUGACGAGUCUGAUCCAGCCCGUCUAGAGGGAGAGCUACAGGGCUCCCAGGCUGGGCUUUGUAGUAGCUCUGCGCUGGCACCUGCUCGAGGUCACACUCUGGGGACGUGUGAGUGGCACCCAUCUGUAAGGGCUGGCAAGGGCUUUGGGGGUUCUUGAGAGCUUGUUGUCAACCCACUCAGAGGAACCUCCCUCCCGCUCUCCACCUCCACUUUCUCCUUCAUGAACAGCAAGAUGCCUUUGGCUCUGACGUGGCCUCUGGGCCGUAUCAGUAGGGAGAUCUCAUUCCGUACCCACUGCCGGCUUGCGGCUGCGUCUCAUUUGCGUCACAGGGCUCGGCAAUGGAACGGCAGCAGCUACGCUACAUGAUUUAACUGAUUUUCCCAUUCUGUCUUCCUCACUUUCUUUAGCUCCCUGGACCCCGUCCAAUCUGUGUAGCUACAGAGGUGCUUGGCCCAAAUGCAUCCUAAAGGCUAUGAGUGAAUGUUUUCAGGUUCAUUUUCACACAACCUAAUGGCUUCUGUUGGAUUUUAAGUGUGCCUCUGGAGAAGUGGCCUACAUUUAGCAUCACAAGGCAAACUUUCAUCCUGAUGCUGGGCUGACAAGACUUUAUGACUGGAAUGCUGAGCUCUGAACCAUGUAUCUGGCUAUUCUGGAGGAGCGCAGAUAGAAGGAAUAAGACAGAGAUGGUAGGAUGCAAAAGGAAGGAACACAGUGUGGGGUGUUGGAGCCUGUUCCCCAUGUGGAGGCAGGGACAAUGGUACCCUAUACUCACCUUGCCUUCCUGGAUGGUGACAACAUCAGGGAGACCGCCCAACACCCGGGCCCGAUCUGCAAGCACAGGAAUUUCUGGUUAAUCAAUGAGGAGGGCCAAUGAUCAUGCCCUCAAAACCACCUCAUGACACAGAUCUCCCAAGUUAGUUUUUCCUGUCCUGGUGGUUGUUUCAGUCCUGCUUUCAGCAUGCAAAACAGGAAAAGGUCUCAGUGACUCUGACUUCAGUCACUACUCACUCACUGCUCACGCACAGGUGCCUAUAGCUGCACCUACAGCACCAGCUUGGGACAACUGUGUCACCUAAAGAGCUGCUGUAUCAUUUUCACGGUCAUAUCCGGCCCUAGCCCUUGUGUAGUUCAGCAGGCCUAAGGUCGAGGAAGCAGAACAAAUCUUAACAUAUAGGCUCUGAGUCGGGUGUGGCCUCUUUAUGGUUUCCCUGUCACGAGCACCAGUUGUACUAUACUCUGGGGGUUCCCGAGACUUGCACAGCUGUGGGCUUCCUCUGAGGCCCUCCUUGGAUAGCUUCCUUUUCUUGGUUCUUGGUGGUGCUGUGCAGGUCUGUCUGUGGCUGAGUAUAUAGAUGGAGAUAAUAGAUACAGGAGAGGUGCUGGAAUCGAGGGCUGGUGCUGCUGGCCGAGACGCUUGCUCUGGGUGUGACCGUCUGAGCACAUGAUGAAGGAGCCCUUCUAUAACCCACCCUGAGGCCGCCUGUCUGGCAUGAGCACUGUGGUUACCAGCCUCACAUUCUAUGGCCUGUUUCAUUCCAUUUGUGACUCUCCAGUCUCAUUUCUGUGAAUUUACCCAUUGUAAAAAUGA